rnacentral:lncRNA from 1 species
UAUUUACGAGCAGCCAGCGCUGAGAAAGUGUGCGCCCAGCACGCGAUCUACACCCCCCUCCCCCGACAGUUUCCUAAUCCCUCUAGCCCGGCCUCCCCGUGGGCUCCCCACGUGCGCCUAAGCCCUACACAACUGACCACCGGCGCGAUCAGGUCCCUCAAGCUUCCAGGCUACCCCUGCUCCCCCUGCCCCCUCCAACUCCCAAGGGAAUCCAGGCUUCUGGGACUCCAGGAAAAAGGGAGGAGCUUCAUGUCCAACCAGCAGGAGGGGGCACUUGGCUUCAGAUCCUCCUGCACAGUUCACAGUAUAUCCUAUAUAUCUAGCACAAUGGUUAAGACCUUGGAAUGGGUUUGCAUCUAGACUGUCGCUAAUUCGCCCUAAGAACUUGGGCCUCCUCUCUGAGCUGUAGGUUCCCCAUCUGUGAAUUGGGCAUAAUGAUAGCUACCUCAUAGAUGAUUGUGAGGAAUAUACCGUGACAACAUAUGUGAACUGUGGGGGAUGCUAAACAAUAAAUGGUGUUUCUUAUAAAAGGAUAGCUACAUAUGUACGUAUACACUUCUAAAAAUAGAAAGGUUUUUUAGGAAUUAUGGCUUAGUUUACUAACUGCCUAUUGUUUUCCACCCUGACCUUUAAAAAGCACAUUUACAUGGACUGACCCAGAUAGUUUUUAAUGCGAGAGGCUUUUCCCACUAUACCCCUAGAAUAAAUUAUUGAAGCAAGGCAAAAGUAUUUUGAAAGGAGGAGGAGGAAGUAGUCUUGAAAAAAACAUUGUAUGUAUUCAAAGCUUCACAAGAAACUGCUGCCUAUUGUUUCUGUUGAUUUUGAAACUCAAAAGCAAUAAUAAACGCAAACUAUAAAGCACUGAGCCGGGUCAAGGCGUUAUACCUGAAAGGUGGUGCAACCUGAAGGCACCCUUUUAAAAAUCGCCCCUCUGAGUCCCUCCAGGGGCAGCUAUGCAAAGGAAAUGAGGGGGAUUCGACACUUUUUAAAACGAUUUUUGCCACGUUUGAUGCCUGCAGCAACAGUGGCUGAGUUUGCAAACUUUCUUGGUGCAUCUGCCUAGAGAUCAGAGUCUUCAUAAUAAAGCUCUAGUGCUUUCCCCCUUGGUGUCAGGGUAAAUUCAACACCAUGGGGGCUGGUGCAACCAUCCAAGGUCAAGAGACCUCUUCCAGCCCUUUUCCAGGACUCUGGGGCCUUAGUCCCUGAGUCCCACGGCUACUGUUCCUACUCCCGACCGGCCGGGAUGAUUAGAGACUGGGCCGAGCCACCGAGGCAUCCAGGACAUAGGAUUAUGACCUGGCGCAGAGCAGGGAUCUGUCCUGUUCAAGACUCCAUCUACCACCCCGCGUCUCUUCCGUGGUCUUUUGCCGUUUUGCAGUAUGCAAACAGGGCUGCAUCUCCAUUCCAGCAUGUGGCUCCGAGUCUUGGCGGUUCCCAUCCUGACUCUCCACCCUAGGCCCCAUUCUUGCCACGGGGCAAGCCAAAACUUAUAUCAGCUUUUGUGCCGGCCAACACACACAGCAUUUCCAUGUGUGCAGUCAGAAUGGGUAAUAGAGGCUUUCCCAGGCUUCUGAGGUCCAACACGUUCCUACUCCGAUUCCCGAUCCAGUAGCCACCUCCUCCACAACUGAGGCUCAGACCCGAUGGUCUCUUAGGCACCCAGAGUAGGUUUCCAAUUUAAUUGCAAACACAGGUCUGAAAGACUCUCCAGAGGGGCGGAAAUGAACCACUGUGCCUGAUGAUCCAUGGGAGGUUACAAGUCCCUGGCACUAGCAGGAAAGUGGAGCCCGGGAAUUCCCUCAAUUCCCUCAAGUUGUCAGAAUCUCCGUGCCUUUCCUUGCCUCGGUCUUCUAGGGAUUCAAAGAUUCAGCUCCUGGGCAAGAAAGUGCCAAUGUGAAGAAGUAGAAAGCUAGAAUUAAGAAUACAGAGAAAGACACGAAACCCUCUAUACCUGCCAGUACAUUCUUUCUUUCAUUCAAAAAGCCAUCCUUUAUUGUCGGGUGCCAGGCACAUGGUUCCCGUCUCCAAGAUGCUAGAAGCCUAGAGCUGAGGAAUGAUCUGUUGGGGGCGGCUUUAUUCACUUGUUUCUGUCGGUAAAACUAUUUCUAAGGACUUCUCCCGAGUGGUGAUAGUGAGGUGAGAUGAUCUUUGCGCAGCCUGAGCCGGGCACUGCGGUCUCCGAAGACUCCACGUAGCGACCCGAACUAUGGUCGAAGCCGAAAGCAAAGUUCCAGAAGUAAGCCCCCGCCUUUGAAUUGAAGGAGGUACAGAGAGCGGUGGUCAUUUGUUCUAUCCAGGUUUUGAUCACUUCCUGAUGAUUAGUCAUGGGAUUCUGCAAUGUGCAAAGAAAAGGAGAAAGAUUUUACCGCCGAUUAAAUGCUCGACUACUUUUUCCCCUUUGCUGCCGGUUUAUUUGACAACUCCAAACCAUUGUAUGCUAUUUAACCUCAGCACAGCGAGAGUAGAGGUGAGA